rnacentral:rRNA from 1 species
AUGAACGUGCUCCGCCUCGAGUCCCGCAUUGCUGCAGUGGUUGAUUACCUUGCAAGACUGAAGGCCGCUGUAUGGCGCAUCGACACAUCGCUCUGGCCAGAAGAAACACUUCAGAACGACCUUGAGUCGCUGAUGACUCGACUGAACAAGAUUCCGAGUCGAGUGCAAGAGUGGAAGAAGUCUUCUGCCAGGUGCGGUGCUGACGUCGCUCUGUCCUUGGUCCGCGUCCACUGCAAAGAAGCGAGAGAAGACAAGCUGGUGUCUCUCAAGGUGGCCAACACUAGUAAGCAUGACUUCCGUUCUUUCAUGGAGACCUUCAUCGCGGCUGCCACUCGGAUCGCAGAUGGGAUCGACUUGGACGAGUUUGUUGCGCCUUCCAGCACUCCGCAGGAGGGAUAA